AGAGUUUGAUCAUGGCUCAGAUUGAACGCUGGCGGUAGGCCUAACACAUGCAAGUCGAACGGCAGCACAGGAGAGCUUGCUCUCUGGGUGGCGAGUGGCGGACGGGUGAGGAAUACAUCGGAAUCUACCUUUUCGUGGGGGAUAACGUAGGGAAACUUACGCUAAUACCGCAUACGACCUACGGGUGAAAGUGGGGGACCGCAAGGCCUCACGCGAUUAGAUGAGCCGAUGUCCGAUUAGCUAGUUGGCGGGGUAAUGGCCCACCAAGGCGACGAUCGGUAGCUGGUCUGAGAGGAUGAUCAGCCACACUGGAACUGAGACACGGUCCAGACUCCUACGGGAGGCAGCAGUGGGGAAUAUUGGACAAUGGGGGAAACCCUGAUCCAGCCAUGCCGCGUGUGUGAAGAAGGCCUUCGGGUUGUAAAGCACUUUAAGCGAGGAGGAAGGGCUGAGGGUUAAUAACCUUCAGCAUUGACGUUACUCGCAGAAUAAGCACCGGCUAACUCUGUGCCAGCAGCCGCGGUAAU
rnacentral:rRNA from 1 species